UACGUAGGGUCCAAGCGUUAUCCGGAAUCACUGGGCGUAAAGCGUGCGUAGGUGGAUGUUUAAGUGAGAUGUUAAAUCGUGUGGCUCAACCAUAUCGAUGCAUCUCAUACUGGGCAUCUAGAGGACGGCAGAGGCAAGUGGAAUUAGCAGUGUAGCAGUGAAAUGCGUAGAUAUUGCUAGGAACACCAAUGGCGAAGGCAGCUUGCUGGGCCACUCCUGACACUGAGGUACGAAAGCGUGGGGAGCGAACAGG
rnacentral:rRNA from 1 species